ACAGAGGGUGCAAGCGUUAAUCGGAAUUACUGGGCGUAAAGCGCGCGUAGGUGGUUCGUUAAGUUGGAUGUGAAAGCCCCGGGCUCAACCUGGGAACUGCAUCCAAAACUGGCGAGCUAGAGUAGGGCAGAGGGUGGUGGAAUUUCCUGUGUAGCGGUGAAAUGCGUAGAUAUAGGAAGGAACACCGGUGGCGAAGGCGGCUAUCUGGACAGAGUCUGACGCUGAGGCGCGAAAGCUAGGGGAGCAAACAGGA
rnacentral:rRNA from 1 species